CGGCCGCGUCGACAGUUGCGAACGGGUGAGUAACGCGUAGGUAACCUGCCUUGUAGCGGGGGAUAACUAUUGGAAACGAUAGCUAAUACCGCAUAACAAUGGAUGACACAUGUCAUUUAUUUGAAAGGGGCAAUUGCUCCACUACAAGAUGGACCUGCGUUGUAUUAGCUAGUAGGUGAGGUAAUGGCUCACCUAGGCGACGAUACAUAGCCGACCUGAGAGGGUGAUCGGCCACACUGGGACUGAGACACGGCCCAGACUCCUACGGGAGGCAGCAGUAGGGAAUCUUCGGCAAUGGGGGCAACCCUGACCGAGCAACGCCGCGUGAGUGAAGAAGGUUUUCGGAUCGUAAAGCUCUGUUGUAUUCAGUUUUAUGAGGUAAAGCGAAUGAUUAGGGGACUCGGGGGCGCUAUAUUGCCUUCAUCCAUUCUCAAACUUUUAAAUAUGUAAGAAGCCCUUG
rnacentral:rRNA from 1 species